UGUUCGGCUAUGGAUCAAUAACUAAAUGUGUUAUUACCCACAUUCACCACUAAGAACAAAACUUCACGGACUACCUGCAACUAAUCUUAUUAAUCAACUAACUUUAUUUAUUUUGAUCGUCUCUACUCUUCCUGUCUCCUUGAAACUCCUUGUCUUUGAGGUCUGACUGGUAAUUUACUUCCUCCAUUACGACAGUUACAAUAUUGUCUGUCUUACCGCCGUAAAGUAUCAUCAAACAUCGAGCUUGAGAUGAGUAUGCCUAACAGCACGAGCGAUGGCGAACGUGGGACAACGACAGUUGAAAGAGAUGGUGAAGUGAAACUCUCCAACGAACAGAAUCCCUCCAAAAUUUACGAAACCAAGAGAAACAAGAAGAUCAUACGACUCAUGACUGUGUUCGCCUACGUGUUCUCUGUUUCCUUAGCUGCAAUAGUCUUGUCUCUUUACUACGUAUUCCUUUGGGAUCCGGCGAUGGAAACUGAAACUCCAGAUACUCCACAAGCCCUUGUCGCUAACAAAGAGAUUGAGUUUCCCGUCCAAUAUGCUCAGGUGUCUCCAUAUCCUACCGAACUAUCGAAGCAAUCGGUUUCCAAUGACGAACUUGCCUACUUUGAAACCAAGUCUAGGUUCGCUGAAAUAAACUGGGACCCUAAGGGCAACUACACCACGCAGAAAACAGAAAAACGACUUUCCCGUAAAAUGACGGACGACCGAAAUUCUGUUCUGCCCGAGAACCCGGGAAGACUUUAGACAGUAAUAGUCUAGACAGAAUUAAAAAGAUUCUGGAUUUUCCGACAGACAUUUUCCCGACAAGGUGUUAAAUAACCAACUUUUCAACAGACAUCGGUCCCAAGAAGACACAUUGCAGAAUUGCCAAACUUAUAAACAUGUCAAAACUUGUAAAUACGCAAAUUAUCGGUAAACAUUAACAAAAAUGGUGACUUAGUUUUCUAAUAUAUUAAUUCUAAACGAUUUUAAGUUUCAUAUCAUAUAACAGAGAUGUUAUAAAGAUAAAAAUAUUUGGUUUUACUGCAGUUCUCAACUACAGAAAUAUGACAGAUCUUAAGAAAAGUGGCCGAAUGAGGCUUAUUCACAGUACCUGAAACUUCUGCAUCUUAUAGAUAUAUACUUAAGUUAGGCCUACUGUGUCAAGGUGUUGUGUUUAUAAAUUGUUAAAUAAUACACAACUUAAGCGCCAUAGUAGUAUGUCUGAGAAAACACAAGUUUAUGUUCAUCAUUUGAAACAGUCGUUCGUAACUGAUUUUUAGUUCUAGGUUGAUCAUAAUCCUAAGUUUCCCUCUACCUUUCUUCCAACUUUUGUCUUAUAAACGAACUUAGGGUUAUUGCUUCAAGAUUCAAUUACUUUGAUUAAUAUCCAUCCUUAAGUUACUAACACAGGUGUAAGAUCAAACGUUUUCAUAAAUGAUCGACAAAUAGAGGUUAUGAUAUAGAUAUGCAUUUUAUCAUAUAUUUAUGUUUAAUUUAGUUUUUCUGUAAUUUGUUAGUGUUUCGUUUUAGUGCAGAGCUACUAAAUAUGCUAUCUGCGCGCUGUCCAAUGCGGGGAAUCGAACCCUAGAAUAAUUUGUUGGACUGAAUAAUUCCAUUAAAUUAAUUGAUGGUGUCACUACUAGGGACUAAUAACAAUGUGGAAAACAUCGAACUGAAAAAUUUAAUGGUGUGUUUCAGCUAUAAACACCUCUUUUGGAUUCAACUAUCUUAAUGAUUACAUUCAAUGUUAGAUUUACAGAACAUUCCAAUAACGAAACCUUCCUAAAACUUUAAGGGUUGUUCUAAAAAAAAA
rnacentral:lncRNA from 1 species